rnacentral:rRNA from 2 species
UGCGGUGGUUAUGGCGGUGGGGAGACACCCGGUUACAUUCCGAACCCGGAAGUUAAGCCUGCCUGCGCUGAUGGUACUGCACUGGGGACGGUGUGGGAGAGUAGGUCGCUGCCGCAC